GAUUAACGCUGGCGGCGUGCAUAACACAUGCAAGUCGAACGAUGAAGAUUAUUAGACUUCUUCGGAAUGAAAAUAAUUGGAUUAGUGGCGGACGGGUGAGUAACGCGUGAGUAACCUGCCUUACACAAGGGGAUAGCCGUUGGAAACGACGAAUAAUACCCUAUGAAACUAUCACUUCGCAUGAAGCGAUAGUCAAAGUGUUAGCGGUGUAAGAUGGACUUGCGUCUGAUUAGCUAGUUGGUGAGAAAAAAGCCCACCAAGGCAACGAUCAGUAGCCGGCUUGAGAGAGUGUACGGCCACAUUGGGACUGAGACACGGCCCAGACUCCUACGGGAGGCAGCAGUGGGGAAUUUUGCACAACGGGGGAAACCCUGAUGCAGCGACGCCGCGUGAUUUAGAAGGCCUUCGGGUUGUAAAAAUCUUUUGUAUAGGAAGAAAAUGACAGUACUAUACGAAUAAGGUCCGGCUAAUUACGUG
rnacentral:rRNA from 1 species